AGUCUGGCUAGUAAGUGUGCAUUAAAAGGAACAAGGAUUGAAAAUAAUGUCAUGUUAUGUCUGAAGAAGUAGGAAUCAUUCUCUGUGCACAGCCACAGCUUAAAAAGGUAUAAUUAUUACUAUGGCAACAGAAUCAGGUGUAUAUAAGGACUGAUCUUUAGCAUAAUUAUGUCUAUAUGAGAUAUGAUAUUUAUAGGCAGUGCUGUCCUAUUUCUACCAUAUAGCACGAAAUUUUCGAGGCAUUUAUAUUUCGUGAAUCGAAUGGCCUCUACAUGUAAAAGCAAUUCGUUGCACAAUGUUCGCGGAAUGACUGCUUACCGAUAUAUGGGGUGCCGUUUGUAUCAAAAUAUUGAUGACAAAAACACAAGGUUUUGACUACGACUGAGGGUAUUUAGUAAACAACUGACUAAAAAAUAAAUCUGUAAUCUGCUCCUAGUAUUAGGGAGGUGUGCAGGGCACAAGGUUGUGCGCAUGCACAGUGCAUGUGCACGACUUCUAGAAUUCUGUAGCUAUAGCUAGAGCUCUACUGCGCCCAGAUGAAUUCACACUCUGUUAAUUAAGUGGAGUAGACAAACGCCUAGUAUUGACUUUUACUCGCUGAAGAGAAUACCCUCAGUCAUUUAAAUGCCUUCAGUUGUUUACUAAACACCCUCAGUUGUUUACUAAAUACCACCAAAACCUUGUGUUUUUGUUUUCAAUAUUUUGACACAAACGGCACCCCAUAUACCGGAAGCCACGCCUUUAAAUCUUUGCACGUUAUAGCAGAUAAUUCUAUUAAAGAACAAUUUUUCGUGGACUUAAUUUUCGUGUAGGAUUGCUAACCCACAAAAUCCGCGAAAAUUAAGACCCUCGAAAAUUUCGCGCUAUACGGUAAUUACAGCACCACUCUAUUAAAUUAGAAGUGCCAAGUUCACAAUUAAUUUUACUUCAAUUGAGCGUCAAGUAAAUAGACCCAUUGUUUCUAGAAAAAUAAUUAUUUUUUUACUGGUUCUAUAAUUAGAACAAUUACGGUAUAAACUAGUGUUCAAGCUGGCGCUGUGCUAAUGCCUCUCGCCAUGAUUUGCUUUCGCUCAAAAGUAUAGAAGAGGAAGUAUAGAAGAGGAAAAGUGUAUAAAAUAAUCUGUCUAAAACUGACUUGCAUCUAUUCAAUUGUAUAAUUAUGGUAUCAUUGUUGUGUUUUGUGGCUGCUUAUACCAGGACCUCAAGGAUCUAGGAAGCAACAAAGAAGAAGAUUUUGUUUUCAAUAAGCGGAAGUGCAUAAUUUUACUAAUUAUUUCAUAAAGUUAGCAUAUCUAUAUAAAGUCACUGAGAAGAAAAGACUUAUUACAUGCAUCUAUUGUUGUAUUAUGUGGCUUUAAUACCAGGACCUCAAGAAAGAAGAAAAUUGAUUCUUCUUCCAGGAUCUGUAGUUCAGUGUAUAAUUAUAAUAUCUAAGAAGAAAAGACUUGUGUACAUGCAUAUUGUUAUCUAUAAUUAUUGUUAUAAUUAUAGUGGCUUACCAGGCCCUCAAGAAAAAUAUGAUUCUGCCAGGAGGAUCUGGAUCUUGGAUAUCACACAUGGGGAAUGAGCGCGCAUGCGCAUUACAUCCACAGGAAUAAUUAAAGGGUGUGUCCAAAGGGAUCAAUUUCACAAAUGGCUACUGCUAGCUAGCUGUUUUAACAGGUAUUUUCUGAGUCUUGUAGCUAACAAAAAGCUAGCGCUUUAGUGCAAGGCUAACUCAUAUAUUGAAUAGAAAGUUUGUGCGGACAGAUGAUGCUAUGAAAGAUUCUGAAGAGACUGCAACAGCCUUCAAUUCUUGCUUGGAAGUAGAGUUUUUCUACUUUGGUCUUACAUUCUGUCAUUUAAAAACAAGAAUAUCUGAUACGGUUUUGAGUCGAAUUCCAUUUUCUAUCUUCAGACAGGAUAUUAGUGAAGAAAUAGGAAAGGUCAUACAGCAAGACAUACGGAAGUUGAAUUCAAAUUUGGUAGGUGGAAAGAAAGGAUUCAAGUUGAAUGGGUCAUUUGUAAAACUAGACGACAAAAAUAUAUAUGUGUAUGAACACAGCGAGCAUGCAACAUGUUCAAGUACUACGUUAUCACAGCUGAGUGGUUGUGUGCGUGUUGAUAGAUGCGAAGAUGAUUUAGUCAAUUGUACGUGUUCAGCUCAUGCAAGCUUGUUGCCUUUCUUUGUUGGUAAUAAAGCUGUUUUGAGUCAAUACAAGGCACACAUAAGUAAUACAGGCAUCCAGUCUGAAGUUACCAAACUAGAGAAAAUUAUUCGAGGUGAAGAAUCCUCUGAAGGCACACCGUACGUCACUCCUAUAUCUUCCUUUGCUUUUAAUUGGCAAGAAAAUGAUUGGACAAAGAGACUUGUACCUUGCAUUCAAAAGCUAUUUCCCGAUAGGACAGUUACGUUUACAGCUACUAUGGGGCUCUCAUGGACCACUGAUUUGCUUAAGGUGUGUCUCAAAAUUGGAGACAUUGCUACGAAACGUCAAUUCCUUUUCUGUGGCUCCCCAGAUGUUGUGAUCACUAAGAACAGAAUGGUCUCUUUAGGUGAUGCAACACAGUUAGAGUUAGAGGAAAGCAGUGGAGAAGAGGGGUUAGUGGAAAACAGUCGUCAACCUAAUCCAAUGCAGGGUAUAAGUGAUUCAGCUUUCCCCGAGAAAUUAGGGGAAGUAUUUUCAGGUUUGUAUAUCCUCUUGGUCAGCAAAAUCCUGAGAAAAAUCGGUAAACGAAGGGAUGUCCUUAGAGAAUUCAAAGUGAAAGGACUUCUUCUCAGCAAAGUGUAUGGGGGGAUUCAUUGCAUUCUCAGUGUUCAUUUGAAGGAUGGAGCAUCAGACUUGAAUUUCAAAGUGAUAGGUUAUAAUGUACUUUUAGAACCAAGUAGUCUGUGCACACUUUUACACAACAUUAUUCGCCCAUUUUAAUUUAUGUCUGCAUACACAACUUAUUGAUGAGAAUAUUCAUGUAGAGUUUGUUGUAAUUGUAACUCUUUCCUUGGCAAUCUGUUGUAGAAAUUACAACAACGGUAACGAAUCGUUAUAGAUGAAGUUGUAUGUGAGCUCCUCCCUGACAAACAAACUGUAGUCUAGGUAACGGCCUUAUCAGUCAAGUAGGCUAAAAAUCUGUGUCCUUUGAUGUAAGCUUUGAUGUCUCUUUGUGCAUAUGCAGUUACAAAAAAAAAAAAAAAAAAGAAACCUUUGACUAGCUAGGAAGAGUAGCAGUAGUAGUAGGAAGAGUAGCAGUAGUAGUAGUAGCAGUGCAAGCAGGACUAGACUAGAUUAAAAAGUUGGUAGAACGAAUAAGUGACCGUUUGGACGUCACCUGGCUGCCAGACUUUCAUCUCGACUCUUCCCCCUGAGUAGCUGGCCUUUCUUUAAGCCACAAAACUGAGCAAGAAGCUGAAGAAGCAGCUAGACAGAGACAUGUACCUAGCCUUGAGAAUUGGGAGGCGUGGCUCAACUAGUUAGCCCAGCCCAGAGGAAUUGUUACCGUGGGUACUGAACAACCGUAGAAGUAGGGCUACCCCUGGCUUUACUGAAUUAACUAGCUGUGUCUGCUGUCUAGUUGGACCAGAUUUAGCUAGAUAAUGGGGUAGAGAAUAGUUGAGCGGUGCUGUGUGUAGCUUGAACUGUACUGGCUGGCAAGAAUCUAUAAUGACAUCACCUCCGAUAUGAGCCCCCUACCUAUCAGCAGUGGCACCACCGACCCAACCUCACCCUCCGAGGACACCACACUCUCAACCACCACCUAUGACCUCUUUGAGAACCAAAGUAUCUGGAGCCUGAGUAACGCUGAUAGUUUAACACUUCUUUCUUGGGCCCAACAGAAAUCUGAACCCUCACAAAGCAAGACUGAGUAAAGCCCCCUCUGACCUACUGCAACGAUUUUGGAUAACGAUUUGAACUUAACCUCAUUUCAAUUGAGUUGUCUGCUAUUAGCUCUAUAGUAUCAGUAUUUUUGGGAGUGAUUAUCUAGCCAGCUAUCUAGUUUAUUAUUGUUAUCGUGUAGCUACUAGUAGAUCGUUCAGUUGUCAUUUUGAGAGCUGUAUGUGUUUAGUAGCUAGCUGAUGACAUUAUUGUGGCUUGGCAUUAUGAAUAAUUUAGGAACUGCCCGGAAGUUACUCACACACAUCGCAAUGAAUGUAGACACACUCGAACUCUAAGAGAGUAAGCGGGUGUAUGAAGAAUGUAAACAAACCCGAGAAAACCACAUUAGAGAAUAGCCAUGGACGUUGACCAUGAGGAAGACUGUUUCCAGAAAGCACAGCCAGAGACUGGAAUUCACCCACUAAACUGUGAAGCAAGUAGGACACUGAAAAGGGAGAUUAUUCAAACGAUUAGUAACCAGAGAGCAGAGUUGAAGAAUGAUCUGCACCAAUUGAAGACUGAGUUGAAGAAUGAUCAGCAACAAUUGAAGAAUGAUCAGCAACGAUUGAAGAAUGAUCAGCAGCGAUGGAAUAUAGCUUUCGGGUCGAUAUUGAUCGUGGUCAUUGGAUCAUUUCUGGCCUUAUGGCUUACGAAUUCUAGUUUCAAAUCCACCUUGUUUAAAGAGCAAGAAAAAUGGCAGCGAAACUUUGUUGACGAAAUCAAGGACACUAUGAUGCACCUCGAAGAGAGUAUCACAUCAAGUAAUUGUGCGGCCAUUCAGUACAAAACUGUGUCUGAUGUGGAUCCCCCAACAUUCAAUAUGACACGAUUCAGUGAUCACAAGAGAGACAGCGAUCGAUGGACAUCCAACCCAGUAUACACCAAUCAACAGGGCUACAAGAUAUGCUUGAGGGUGAUUGCUAACGGCAACGGUUUUGGAAAAGGGACUCACGUGUCUGUGUUUCUACACUUCAUGAGAGGAGAGUUUGACGAUCAUCUAAAAUGGCCAUUUCGUGGGAUUAUUUCAUUGCGACUGCUAGAUCAGCACGGACAGAACCACAAAAAUGGUUCAGUGAUGUAUGACGAUAACGUGGUUGAGAGUGUAUGCACGAGAGUGAGAGAUGGGGAAGUGGGGAAAGGAGAGUGGGGUUACAUUAAAUUCAUUCCUCACACAGAACUGGAACCAUACCUGCAUGAAGACACGCUGGUGUUCCAGAUCUAUGAAGUCGAGUUGCAUUGAUUGAUUGAGGUGUAUGUUUGUGUGUGUGUGAACAGUUUGAAGCUGCAUUGAAAGGUAGCUAGCUAGUUAGUUUGUUUGUUUAUUUGUUCAUUUUUUAAAUUGGUACCUUGUUGCCAUGAAUGACAUUUCUGAAACAGUUCCAUGUA